rnacentral:rRNA from 1 species
AGAGUGAACGCUGGCGGUAGGCCUAACACAUGCAAGUCGAACGGCAGCACAGUAGGAGCUUGCUCUUACGGGUGGCGAGUGGCGGACGGGUGAGGAAUACAUCGGAAUCUACCUUUUGGGUGGGGGAUAACGGUAGGGAAACUUACGCUAAUACCGCAUACGCCCUUCGGGGGGAAAGCCGGGGACCAGCAAUGGCCUGGCGUUGAUAGAUGAGCCGAUGUCGGAUUAGCUAGUUGGUGAGGUAUGGCUCACCAAGGCGACGAUCCGUAGUCUGGUCUGAGAGGAUGAUCAGCCACACUGGAACUGAGCACGUCAGCUCCUAGGGAGCAGCAGUAGGGGAAUAGUAGGACAAGU